UUUGGACACUGAUGCGCAGGAGAACCCCUAGCUGUCAAUCAAGCAGGCGCGGUGAACGGAUUAUGACGCUCAAGCGUUCCAAAUGACGCAACAAUACAGCUCCAGACCAGAGAAAGUUAAUGCCGAGGAUAUUAUUCGGUUCAACACUAAAACUGAGGUUUGACACGUGUGAUUUGAGGUGAGUCAAAUAUUUACAAAAGUUUACAAUACAUUAACCAUCCGCUUCGUUAUUUCUGUUGCUAUCAAUCACUCCAUCUGUAUCUACUCUUCUGUCUGUCUGUCGGACUAUCUGAAUUGUCUGUGUACUGUCUAGCCAGCAUAUGCCAGAAAGGUUCUUUCACAUAGGCUCAUAUUCACAAAGUCUCAUAGAAGGAGUGCUGAUCAAUAAUCAGUUUGGUCUUUUAAAUUAAACUGAAUACAUUUUGAUGGACAGGAGGCGACCUGAUCCUAGAUCAGCACUCCUACCCUGAAACACUUUGUGAACACAAUCCAGGUGUACUGUGAUGAGAUAUUAUUAUAUUAGUUGUGCUGAUGCAUGAUGGGUUGUAGGCUAGAGCUUGAGGACUCAACUCUGAAGACUGUUUCUGAAUUCACUGACCUGGUGAGUAAAUGUUGUGUACAAUGGCACCAUCUAGUGACAGAAACAUAGAAACACAUUGUUGCUGAACGAAGGCAUCUCUUUAUUUUCCAGAAAUAAAACUUGUAGACCUUUCCUGCAGUCUCUGAGGAGAUGGACACCUCUUCUUCUUCUGGACGAUCUCCGUCUCCUACUGGGACUGUCUUCUUACCCCCUCCUAUCAUGUGGAACAGUCUCUACAAGCAGGCAGAGAUGGAGGUUUACUUCCCGAGAGAAGAGAAGAAGACCUGUACAGAGAAGGAAGCCCACAUGCUUGAGUUGAUGGGGAAGGAUCAAACGAUCCGAAAUCAGAAGAAGGAGAUGGGCAGACUUCAAGUGUGCCUCUGGGAGGAGGAAGAGAAGAAGAGGAAUGGUGGAACGGAGAAGGACAAGAUCAUUGAACAAUUACAGUCUGAGACAGACCAUCUCCGAGCCCUUUUAAAAGAUGAAAGGAGGAGAAGAAGAGUAGAAAGGGGUAUCAUGAAAGAGUGGAAGGCUGAGAUCCUGAGACUGAGGGAGGCAGAGAGCCAGAGGGAGGCAGAGAGCCAGAGGGAGUCAGAGAGCCAGAGGGAGGCAGAGAGCCAGAGAGAUGCAGAAAGACAGAGAGAAGCAGAGAGACAGAGAGAAGCAGAGAGACAGAGAGAAGCAAAGAGACAGAGAGAAGCAGAGAGACAGAGGGAGGCAGAGAGAGAGAGGGAAGCAGAGAGACAGAGGGAGGCAGAGAGACAGAGAGAAGCAGAGAGACAGAGGGAAGCAGAGAGACAGAGGGAAGCAGAGAGAGCCACAGAAGCAAUGGAGCACCAGAGAAAACUGCAGGAGAUCCACAGACUCAACCAACUGCUGGAUCUACUGAUGGUGGACCUACAACUGGCCCACGUAAGACAUGUCAUUGUUAUUAUUAAAAGGCAGUGUAUAUUUACCCAGCUGAAAAUGAAUAGUGGCAGACAGCGGUACGCUAACCCAAUGUUAACUUUCAUUCCUUUCCUUAACCCUUACCUUAACCUCACUGAAACUAUACCUAACCUUUACCUUAACCCAACCCUAGGUCCUGAACCUAACCUUCAUUUAUCUCAACCCCUAUGCCUUUCUUCUGCCGGUUGAAUAUCCACUUCCUUAUUAACGUCAUUCCUGUUGUUGUUGUUGACUGUAUCUGUGCAGGUUGUAAAUAGUUGCAUUAGUGAAACAUCAUUUGUAGGAGUAAUUUCUACAAGCAUAAACAUCAGAGGCAACAUUGUUGUAACAUCACACAAAUUGUAACAGGAAUUUCUCAAACCCCUAACUGAAUGAGCAAGAAUGUUGUGUGUUUGUAUUUGAACACAUUUUGGACAUAAUUGAUUCCAUAAAAUGUCUCAUAAUUUUUUCAAGCCAUGUCAAUACAUUAAUUGACAAUGAAUUGUCCAGAUGAAUUGAUCAACAUGACCCUGCUAUUGAUGUUGUCCAGUGUUUGAUUCAAUUACCUAGCUCUAGGUUAUAUUUCUGUGUAUCGUUCUCUGCAAAUCCUUUGAAAGUAUGUCUUGGUAAUAGAUUAUCACUAAUUUUACCUUUUAAAAUGAAGCAAGAGAUUGAGAGAUUGAGGCUAUGGCAGAAAGUCAUGGAGGAUCAGCGACCAAGACUGGCCUGGAACAACAAACCUAUUGAAACAGGAAGAGAGAGGGAAAGAGAGAGGGAAAAAGAGAGAGAAAGGGAGAUGGAAAGGAAGAGAAAAGCAGAAUUGGAAAGACAAGAAAUGAAGAAGAAAGUGGAACAGGCAGAAGAAACGAUAAAAGCGUUAGAACGAGAGAUUGAGAGAUUGAAAGAGAUUGAGAAGGAAAUCAUAUUUGAAAGAGAAAGAGACAUGCGUAUUGCAGAGAAUGAGAAAGUCAAACUGGUCAACGAAAAGGUAAAAGAGUUAGAGAGAGAGGUUGAGAGACUGAAAGAAGAUAUGACAACAAAAGAGAUUCAAUACAAAAUCAAAUUUGAAAGAGCGAAAGAAGCAUUUAGAAGACAGAAUGAGAGAGUGAAACAGGUUAACCAAAAUGUACUAGUGUUAGACAGAGAGGUUGUGAGAAUGAAAGAAGAGAUUAGAUUGAAAGACGAGACUGAACCAGAGAGAACAUUUGAUAGAGACAGAGAGAGAGAAAAUGAUUGGAGACGAAGUGAAGAGGAGUUGAAAAAUAGAGUGGAGAGAGAGAUGGAGAUGGAGACAGCCCUCAUCAAUGACAAAAAGAUGUCUGAAUUGGAGGAAGUCUUCAAGAAAAUCAAGGAACAGCAGAUAGAAUUAGAAAAUAUGGAAACAGACAAAUAUAAAUGGAAACAGAACCAAAUGGACAUGGAGGAGAAGAUGGAGGGUG
rnacentral:lncRNA from 13 species